AAAGUUUAUCAGUAAGUUGCAGACGCGCUAAUUAUGCCUCUUGGUACUUGCUGGCGGAUCAGUAUUAGCUAUACGCAUACCAAGUUUUUGAAUUUCCUCAAAAUCGUUUAAGAGACCAGGUAGAUUGUCAUGAAAUACUGGAUACGCAUACUCCAUGCAUGCAUCAAGGAUCGAAUACAUGAUUUAAAAAAUUGGACUAAUCCUUUACUACCUACUUUAGAGUAUCUUAACUUAACGAGUUAAAAGGAGUCGCUUGGAUGCUUUAUUUACAAUUUCAGAAACAUGUUUGUUCCCCAUAUGUUAUUAUCACAUUUUGCAAUUGCUUAUACUGUCAUAGUUAUAUAUGGACACGAUAUUAUAUGGUUCUAUUAGGGCCGACCGCCCCCCAAUCGCCACAAAAACCAUUCUAUCAAAAGGCCUAAAUCCAUAGAGAAAUUGGGAAGGGGGUAACACGUUCCAUUCUCGAAGUUAAAAGUCUCGAUCUAAGACAACGACGAUUUACUGGAGGAGCUUGAUGUGUGAAAUCUCGUUAAAGCAUUUGUAUAUAUAUGAUUCCAAGAAGAAUAGAUUUAGUUUAGAUUUUCGACUGUUAAAUUGGCAUGUAUAUCAUUGCCAUAGCAUUGAAUAUUUGUUCUCAAAUUUAUCAUGUAUACCAUGUAUCUUAUGAAAAGUAAUGCUAUUUUGAGAAUGCGACAAAUGCGUCUCAUAGAAUUAUCUAAAUGCAAAAUCUCCGAUCAAAAUUACAUUGCGAUUUUCUUCGCCCCCCUCCCCCCCCCCCCCCCCUUGCCCCGCAUCACGCACAGAAGGAAAAUAAGCUGACACAGACUCCGAAGAGAAAUAUCUGGUAAAAAAUCAUGUCUUCGAUGCACUUGAUAAUCCUCGGAAUUCUGCAAAAUUUCAC